GACGUAGGAUGCGAGCGUUGUCCGGAUUUAUUGGGCGUAACGAGUUCGUAGGUGGUUUGUUAAGUCUGAUGUUAAAGACUGGGGCUCAACCCUGGAUAUGCAUUGGAUACUGGCAGACUUGAGUGUGGUAGAGGCUAGUGGAAUUCCCAGUGUAGCGGUGAAAUGCGUAGAUAUUGGGAAGAACACCGGUGGCGUAGGCGACUAGCUGGGCCAUAACUGACACUGAGGAACGAAAGCCAGGGUAGCGAAUGGG
rnacentral:rRNA from 1 species